UAGCGAUCACUAGGCGGAUAACAUUAGGCGGUUAUCUAUAAUUGCAAGUCUAAAUGGCGGGCUAAAGACCAAUUGGAGGUAAUGGCACUUUAUAGACGCCUUUUAUCAUUAAUCCAAUGACUGCUCGCCUUCCGGGACUCGCCGUGAUGAGUCGUCUUUUGUAGAAAAGAUUGAUAUCAUCUUUGAGGUUCGAACCCAGCGAGGCACUGGCGUGAGCAGCGUAAGGACCUAGGAUGAGUGUUCGGAAGAUACGGGUAAUAGGACGGAUAAAAGAAACGCUAUUUAGAGCGAUUAUCGAAUUUUGGGUGAUCGCUA
rnacentral:SRP_RNA from 1 species